rnacentral:rRNA from 1 species
UACCAGCACCCCGAGUGGUCGGGACGUUUAUUGGGCCUAAAGCAUCCGUAGCCGGUUCUACAAGUCUUCCGUUAAAUCCACCUGCUUAGCAGAUGGGCUGCGGAGGAUACUAUGGAGCUAGGAGGCGGGAGAGGCAAGCGGUACUUAGUGGGUAGGGGUAAAAUCCGUUGAUCCAUUGAAGACCACCAGUGGCGAAGGCGGCUUGCCAGAACGCACUCGACGGUGAGGGAUGAAAGCUGGGGGAGCAAACCGG